rnacentral:lncRNA from 1 species
GCUGUUCACAUGGCCAUGCCUCCACAGACCACCUCUGGCCAAGUAGAGGGAACCAGAGGGUGUGCGUGAGUCCAGGUGAACUCCCCCGCUGCUCCACUGCCGCCGACGAGCACCCCAACGUCGAAACUGCGAUCUCCGGCGAGCUCCUCUGUUUUCAGUUCGCGGCCAGGGACUUCGCGCGACAAUUUGAUGUUCUCCAGGGGUCUAAUUGCACAGACUGUGACUCAGGUGAAUAGUGCUAUAAGGACUUGUUUGUAGAUGUUUUGUUGAAUCUUUGAAAAUUCAUAUCU